AACGAACGCUGGCGGCAGGCUUAACACAUGCAAGUCGAACGGGUGUAGCAAUACAUCAGUGGCAGACGGGUGAGUAACACGUGGGAACCUUCCUAGGGGUACGGAACAACUCAGGGAAACUUGAGCUAAUACCGUAUACGUCCGUGAGGAGAAAGAUUUAUCGCCCUUAGACGGGCCCGCGUCGGAUUAGCUAGUUGGUGGGGUAACGGCCUACCAAUGCGACGAUCCGUGGCUGAACUUAGAGGAUGAAAAGCCACACUGGAACUGAGACACAGACCCGACUCGUACGGGAGGCAGCAGUGGGGAAUCUUGGACAAUGGGCGCAAGCCUGAUCCAGCCAUGCCGCGUGAGUGAAGAAGGCCUUAGGGUUGUAAAGCUCUUUUACCAGGGACGAUAAUGACGGUACCUGGAGAAUAAGCCCCGGCAAACUGCGUGCCAGCCGCCGCAGUAACAC
rnacentral:rRNA from 1 species